rnacentral:rRNA from 1 species
GAUGAACGCUGGCGGCGUGCCUAAUACAUGCAAGUCGAGCGAAGCGGGGACGGGUGAGGAACACGUGGAUAACCUACUCUACGACUGGGAUAACUUCGGGAAACCGGAGCUACACACGAUACUUAUAGAUGGAUCCGCGCUGCCUUGGCUAGUGGGUAAGGUAACGGCUUACAAAGGCAACGAUGCAUAGCCGACCUGUGAGGGGGACUGACCACCUUGGAACGGAGAAACGGUCCAGAAUCCUACGGGAGGAAGAAGUAGGGAAUCUUCCGAAAUGGGCGAAAGCCUGACGGAGCAACGCCGCGUGAGUGAGGAAGGUCUUCGGAUCGUAAAACUCUGUUAUUAGGGAAGCGGUACCUAAUCAGAAAGCCACGGCUAACUACGUGCCAGCAGCCGCGGUAAUUC